rnacentral:sRNA from 1 species
CAAGAAAACCCACACCAAAGUGUUCGUGUGGAAAAGGGAAAUGCUACCACCCACCAGAACUAACGGGAAAACAUGGAUGAGAGUGGAGGUUGAACUGAAACUAACCAAACAGGAUAUCCCUAAGACCAAUAAAAAAAAUGCCCCAGAGUCACAGCAUUUGAACCUUGGACUCCGGCCUCAACAACCUUUCCAAGAAAUUCUGACAUAUUUUCUGCUGUCUAAUGUGUCGGACAGACUGCAUAGUGGUCUCUGUUCCAAACGCCUGUUCUUCAGGCCAAGGUAAGCCUUUUAAGUUAAGCUAGAGGAAGAUGGUAAUGAUCAUAGCUGGGCACCCCCAACCCCCACCCCACUCCACCCACAUUCCUAAUCUUAAUGGAACUGAGAGUUAAGAAUGAUUUUUUAAUGUCUCGUUGGAUUUUUAGACUGUUAAUGUACCGAAUCCUUCUCAUUAUUACUUUAUUGAUUGCUCAUUGACCAGCCCCCUUCAAAUCGUAUUAACCACCCUCUGCCGGUUUAGAUUAGGAGAGUUUAAAAAGCACCUUUCAUUACUCCCCCCUCCCCAACUCCUGCCACAGAGUUGAGACUAGGCAGCUUAAUGGGAGCUCUAAUGGGGCAGCUAAGAAGAGAGGGGCCACGGUCCCUGCCGAUUGCAUUAAUAGCUCAAAGGGGGCCAAUACAGAAAAUUAGCCGUAAACGAGCUCUGGAGAUCUUCAAAUGAAACAGCCAUUUAUCACGCUGGCUACCUUGACUCCACUCGUUUGCUCUCUCUACUGGGAACAACUCAUUUCCUCUUAACUAAAUUACUUCAGAAAUGUCAGCUAAGCCCACAUAGCAAACAUAACAAGAGAGGGAGUCUGUAAUGUAUUGGGUGAUAUCAACAGGGAAGAGGAAUGACAUGGGUGAAGUUUUAGGAGUGGCUAUGGCCCAACCUGACAGAUACAUGCAUCUUUUAUACCUAGGUAAUUAGGUUUUAUAAACAUAGGAGAGGAGCUGUGUAAAUGUGGGCUAGUUGCUGGCCUUUUCCUAAUGAAGUAUAAUUUUCUAAAAACUGUCUCAAUGCCCAUUAGAAAACAAAUUAAGCAACCGUGUCCCCUGCUAGUUGCUGGAAUUUAGAAUAUUCAGUUCAGGAAACUUUCUCACCUCUCUACAGAAUUAAUCUCACAGAAGCAUCCCUCAUGGGAAUAGGGAUAUGUAAAGGUGGGAGAAGAGAGGCAGGGCAGGGAAGGAGCUAAUGAACCCAUAACUUUAUUUUAAGUGGUUCCUGGUGAGUUAGAAAAAUAAAUCAAACAUUUGUUCUUUUUUUUUUUUGCCUGUGGCUCUUAAAAGAUAAAAAUAUGAUAUUAGGACCUCUUCUUUAUGUAAUAAAGCAAACACUUCCAGUAUCAAAUAAUGGAACUGACCUAACAUCCAUAUUUUAUGACUCACCCCAACUCAAUUAACAUGAGCAAGGGAUUGCCUUAGUGUUUUAAGCCAUGCCUGCUUUUAAAAAGCUUUGAAGGAAAACAUUUGGCAGUUUGAGAAAACAGAGCGAGCAAUUUUAGCCAACACUCUUCCUUAUCUCUGGAAAUUACCUUAUGCAUAAAUAUUCAUGUGUCUCUGGCAAACACAUUGAAAAAUGGCAACCAAAUGUUUCCCACAUCUAAGAAAACCACGGACCUCGUUUUUCUAGGCAAACUAAGUUCCAGAUAUUUUUAUUGGCCUGCCUAUUAAUAACAUUUCUGAUUGGUCAUCUGCUGGGCACGUCCCUCUGCCAGCCAAUUGAUGUUGCUAGGAUACCAAACCCUGAGCUAAGCUGUUCUAGCUAGCCACAAAGAGGGAGGGGGGAAUUAAAACAACAGUGACAAUAGGGGACCGGAAAACUCCUCCCUCACCCCACCCCAAUCAACCAGCAGUCACCCAGAGGAGAAGACUCUAGAGAAACCAGUGAAAGUAAGCAGUCAACACAUUUGCUAGCUUAAGCACACACCGCGGGCGGGCCAGCCAAAGAUGGGAUAUACCUAAAGAAUACCAGGCAACAUUUAAAAACCUAUCUGGGGCGGGGAGGGGUGGGGGAAGCGUUCCAAAGUCAAAAGGCAUCAUUCACCUGCCGGUUCUCUCUUCUGCCUCUCCCAGCUAUAUAUUCAUGGCUUUUAAAAAGAGAAACUUUAGCAUACUUUGGCGUCAUUUCCCAACCGCCUCCUACUACCCCAAAUCGAGUCUGGAUGGAUUACUUUCUAAAAUAUUCUUUUCCUUAGUUAUUAUUAUUGGUUUUGUGACUGGUAAGUGGCUUGAGUGAAUCACGAAUGGCUGAGGCUGGGGAUUGUUGGCUCCCAGCCUAAGGACUCUUUUCCUCAAGCUUCAAUAAGAAAGGGCCGUAGUCAGUAAAGCUGUGUCUCCCAGUACCAGUCCAUAGGAUAAUUAAAGAUCGCGAAUGUGUAUACAUUCGAUCUCUUAAAUCUGUGCCAUGUGACUGACAUUCAGGCCUUGAAGCAGCUACUCUAAUCGCCAGACAUUCUCUUAGUGACUGUCAGAGAAGAGGAGAAAAAAAAUUAAGCAGCUGCAAUACGCCCGAAAUGAGUUAUUGUAAUUACAUUUAAUUAGUUUAAUUAGUUAAUUAUUUUGCUUACAGCUGUACAAGAGACUGCAAACAUUUGUUAAUAUCACAUGCCCUUUAACAGUGUGGGGUGAUUCCACAGUCAUAGUAAAUCAUGAGCGCAUAUGCAGGAAGAUUUAGAUGCGUGCACAGUCCGUUGAGAUGCACAGCCUCUCAGGAUGAGCGUAUUUAGCAAAGCAUUUGGCACAAUUAAAAAAAAUAAUAAAAAAGAAACAACUCAUAACACACAGAGAACUGGUAACACAAUUACCACCACCACCAAAAAAAAAAAAAA